rnacentral:misc_RNA from 1 species
UCGGCGCCGCUCCCUCCGUCAUCCUCACCCCUCGGUGUUUCUUCGCUCCUGUGUGUGCGUGUAAGUGUGUCCGUGGCCCGCCAUGCCUCCUGUCAGGACAGUGAAGCACGAGACCGAUGUCAUAGUGCCCAGGGCGGGCGAGACCUACGUCGCCGACGACGGGACUGUCUCGCAAGUGCUGGACGACCACAUCGAUGCAAACUACGAGCCAACGGAAGAGGAGGUGCUCGAGUUUGCCGACUGGAUCGGCAUGAAGCUGCCGCAAGAUUCGGAGUUUCUGUGGCUCGCACGCGAGGGCCUUAAAACGCCGCUGCCAAAGGAGUGGAAGCCAUGCAGCACGAACGAUGGUGAGAUUUACUACUUCAACUUCAAGACGGGCGAGAGCAGCUGGGACCACCCGAUGGACAGCAUCUUUCGCCAGCGGUUCGAGCAGGAAAAAGAGAAGGCCCGCGCUCGCAAGUCGGUGUCGGCGACGAGCAGCACCGCCGCUAACCGGAGCACUAGCGGACCAAACAGCAGCACGCCCAGCAACAGUACCUCAGCGAUACCGCAGACGCACGUUAUGAUGACCGACACAGGCGUGCUGCGGCGAGACGCGGGGCCGGGCGCUGCACCAGGGCUCAGUCCUGUCGUGACCUCGAUUAGCGGUGGCGCGAAAGGCGUCAGCGCUGGCAAUGCCUGCAGGGAAGCCAAGCCGAUCAUGCACUACCCUCUGCAGCAGCAGUCGCGGUCAGCGACAGUGACAACGCGCACAACAGCGAAUCCCCAGAGCGCCGCUGGCUCGUCCGCCAUCACAGCUGCUGCCGCCGGCAAUCCCUCGCGGUCCUCCUCCGGACCUGCCCCAAAGAAGGUUGGGGCCGCAGAGGUGUCGUCUGCCGCCCCACCCCGCAUUGUUUCGGAGGCUGAGCGCGCGUUGGAGGAGCGCGUGCAGCGGGAGAUGCAGCUGGCCCUCGAGGCGGAGCGCUCCAAGAUCGAGGAAGCUCAUCAAGGAACCAUGUCCGCUCUCCAGUCCAACUUUGACAAAGAUGUGGCGGAGCUGCGCAGCGCGGACGCCGCACGCCGCGCUACGUCAUCGCGACAGGAGGAGGAGGAGCGCGAGCGCCGUCUGCAGCAGACACGAAACAUGUGCGAGGAUAACUACGGCGACGAGCUGCGGUCGCUGGAGCGUGAGGUGGAGUCGUACGCGGCGAAGCUGCAGAAACUGGAGGCGGAGGCCGCCCGCGCCACCUCCGGCAACACGCAGCGAGCCGCCAUUGAGGCCGAGCUCAAGACAGCGCUAGCGCAACAGCGCGCUGAUGCGGAAGCAGAUAUCAAGAAGCAGCAUGAUGCUGCGAUGGAAGCCGCCCAGUCUGCCCACGCUGCUGCUAUGCAGAAGGUUCGCGACGAGGAGCAGAACAGGAUUACGGCAGCAAAGCAGGCGUGGCAGCGCAAGUUCGACGACGAGGAGCGCGCGUUGGCGCUGCAAGCGGAGAUUGAGCGAAAGCGAUUGGAGGUGCAGCUGAAGGAGCUAGAUGGAAAGCUUGCCAGCUUUGCAGCACGCGCGGAGGCUAGCACGAUGACAGCCACGCCCCCAGCAACUGGCUCGUCGCCGCCUGGCAGCGGCGAAUCUCUUAGCGAGCGACUGGCGCGUGUGGCCGCUGCCAAGGCAGCUCAGCUGCAGGACAUUGAGGCAUCUGCCGCGCGAGAGCAGUCCGACGUGCGCACGGACGGCGAGGCGGCUUUGGCGGAGUUGGCGAAGCAGGCCCAACCAGGACAACAGGCGGCGCAGCUUCUUCCAGCGGGCGCCACGCCGAUCGGUCCGUUGAGCCGUAUGGCUUCGUACUCCUCCGAUCGAUCGGGUGUCGUCACCCUGCAAGGCGGUGCGCGGCCCACCUCCGCGACCCUCAGCGUCGCCUUCACGCAAGAGUUAAACCGCAUCCGCCUUGCGCGAGGCAAGGACCGACAAGAGCGCCUGGCGAAACUACGCGCUGACCGCGAGGCAGCGCUGGCGGCUACCGAGGCGCCCUCCCACUCUGCUUCCGCUGCAAAGAGUCGCGGGUCUGACACCGGCGGCGACACUGAGACAACACCCCCAAGCGGCAGCGGUAGCAGCCUGACCACUGUAGACGAGCUGAAGGCCGCUCACGCGGUGGAGCUCGAAGCCAAAAAGGUGCUUUACGCCAAGAUGGAGGAGGAUCUGAAGCAGCGGUACGCAUGCGAGGCCGCCGAUGCGGCGGGGGCGACGACAGCGAUGCAGCAGAGCGCCCUGGUUGCCAAAGCAGUGGACACGGAGAUGGAUUUGUACAUCCGGCAGGCCACCGCGCGGCACGAUCGCAUGCGUGCCGAGGCCGCGGCAAAGCGCGACAAGGCGCUCGCUGACCACCAGCUGGCGAUGGAGGCUUACGAGCGACGAAAGCUAGAGGCGGAGACUCGCCAGGCGCGAGAGCAGCAAGAGGCGCAAGAGGCCUUUAUCCAAAGCCGCCUCGGCACCGCCGUGGCAGCGGAGAGGACGAAGCUGGCCGCUGACCAUGCGGCUGCCAUGGCGCGUCUGGAUGCGCGGUACGACGAGGAGCGCGACGCCGUGAAGGCGGAGGUGGAGGAGGAGAUGGCCGCCUAUGUGGCAGCCGUGCAGCAGGAGAUCAAGACCCCAGCGAGCGCGACAGCGGCGUCUGGGGACAAAGUUCAGGGGGCGGCAGCGCCUUCUGCCACGGCUGACACCCGAGAAGGCACAGCGGCGACAGAGGCGCUCUGCUCGCAGGUGGAAAAGCAGCACGCCGACCGGCAGGCGGAGUGGUCGUCUAGGAAGCGCAUCCAAGCGGCGCAGCGAGCGGCUCUGGAGGAAAAGCAGGCAACGCUGCAGGCACAAAAGCUGCGUGCCGAGCAGCAUGUGGAGGCAUUGAAGGAGGAAGUCACCGAUCUCGUCGCGGCCGUGCAGGCCGCCGAGGCCCGGCAGCCCUCUCCUUCAUCUCCUUCCACUCCUUCACGUUCGCCCCCUGCGUCGACCUUGGCGAGUGCGGCGACCGUGGGCGGCCAUCUGCGAUCUAUGCACGAGGCAUCGAUGCAGGCCCUCGAGCAAGGCUACCGCUCUCAGGAAGCCGCCCUGGAAGCCGAGCUGCAGACAUGGCGAGGCAAGAUACGCGCUCUUCAGCAGUCGCAGCUACAGCAAUCGUACGCGUCGACCAGCUUGAGCACUCCACGACAGCAGGUGCUCACCGACAUUGCCCACCUGGGAAGUGCGGCGAUGCGCCCGACAUCGUCGUACGUACUCCACCGCCAUCCGAGCCCCAUCGCUACUGCGGCUGCCGGCGCAUCGCUGCUGAACACGCCGACAAUCUCUAUGUCGUUGCAGGACUCGCCUUGGCAGCCCACCACCCGCGCUGGCUUACCAACACUGCAAGCUGAAAUGAUGGCUUGCGGCCCUUCGUUGACUACCGGUGUGCCAGGCACCACCGAGGCGAUUCUGUCCUAUCAACAGCGACAGCGCGUUCUCCAGCAGCGUCAAGCCUCGCUAGAGGCGGCUCGUGAGGCGUGGCAACUUCACCGAAGGCGGAAAGCAGAGCUGCAGCAGCAGGAGCAGAGCCGCUUAAACCUCAGUGCCCUUGCGGCCGCUUCGCAGCAGGAUGAAAAGCAUGAGGGUGCCGAGCCAAGCAUACUCGGCGCCGUUGGUGGUGUGCACCGCAGCCGUCAAGAGCUGCUCAGCCUCGUUUUGUCUCGCCUUAUCGAGCGUCUUGACGCCGUGACGGGACAGGCCGUGCAGCUGCAGCACCAGCAUCAGCACCAGCGUUAUUCCCGCAGCCAAUCUGCGACGCGUGCAGACGUCCGCACUGAGACGGCGCCCUCGCCGCACGCGCGUGCACACAGUGCGCAUAGCCACCACUGCGAUGCCCGCGGUCCACCAAAGCGGGGCAGCGUGGUGCCCAUGACCGCCCUUCAGCCUCGUCACUCGACGCUAAUGAACGCCGCCGCCGCCGCCUCCUCGGCCAAGGUGGCGCCAUCGACAAAGCCGUCCUCUUUUUCGGGUAGGGCGAAGGCUUCCCAAUCUGUGCAGCACAGCAGGAGGGGAAACAGCGCUGGCGGCGCCGAAGGCGAGACGCGCCGCGGCGGAGCUUCGCCCGGCAACGUCUCAUCCAAGUGGAGCAUGCUCUUGUCACAGCACCACCGUCAUCGCAGUGGAUGAGGUGACGGACGCCUUGGCUAGCAGCCGACAAGAGAGGCGGCUGAGGUCUCUCGUCUUCCGCUUCUGCCAACCUUUUGAUCUCCCCGAGAUCAUCAACAACGCGCUCGUCGGCCUCCCCCUUCUCCCUCCCUCCUUCCCUGCACCUCCGGCUCCCGGGCGCAGCCGUUCCCUUGCCCUUCUUGGCUCGUUCUGCCACGCGCAGAGGAAGCAGAUAAGCCAAGCAGGCGAGUUCUUUCAUAGAGGCGCAGGCGUUUUUCACCUUUUGCUGCACGCCGCACCCACCCACCCACCUAUCUAUAUAUACACGCGACGUCCGCAGGUGUCCGCUGACGCACUCCGAUCAGCAGGGUGUCACGUCGAACGUCGCCGACCUUUCGACACACAUACAAGCGAACUGUUGGUGAGAGGCUGGGCGCGACGAUCACUGCUGCUGCCACGCCACCCCUUCUUCUUUCUGCGCCACGCGAUUUGCUGCUCGACUUUGAGGAGGGCGGUGUAUGCGUUGUUGCUGCUGCUGCUGCUGCUGCUGUCAUGGUCCCUUGGUCUCGUGCUUUCCAUGCUCUUUCUAUGCGACUGCCCCGUCUUGUCCCUUCUCCGUCAGCGUAUGUGACUGGCCACGCACCGAGUCGUUUGUU